UACAAGUCAACGAAUUCACACGUGUGAACUUUUUCUCAAGAGUAUGUGGUCAAGAAAACCAAUUCUUGGUCUCUAAAUCAGCAGCCAGGAAGCUUCACCAAGUGUCUUUUAAAGUAGUGGUGUUGUAGCAUCAGACUGCAGACAGUGGUGCAGUGGCGGAGAGAGCUCAUUCUGUGUCCUCAGCAGGGAUUUAAACCCAGCCUUGGCUCCUGAUAUUUCUUCACUUUAGGAGCUGCUCUUUCUGAAACACUUUGAAGUUGAAGACAUCCUGAAUCUUCAAGACUGCAGCUUGAAGUUCCGUCCCCUGAGUGCACAGAGAGCAAUGCA